GCCCCUAUCGUCUAGAGGCCUAGGACACAGGCUUUUCAAGCCUGGAACACGAGUUCGAAUCUCGUUGGGGGCACAA
rnacentral:tRNA from 1 species